UUGAACGCUGGCGGCAUGCCUUACACAUGCAAAUCGCACUGUAACGGGCCUUCGGGUGCCGACGAGUGGCGAACGGGUGAGUAAUACAUCGGAACGUGCCCGAUCGUGGGGGAUAACGAGGCGAAAGCUUUGCUAAUACCGCAUACGAUCUACGGAUGAAAGCAGGGGACCGCAAGGCCUUGCGCGGACGGAGCGGCCGAUGGCAGAUUAGGUAGUUGGCGGGAUAAAAGCUUACCAAGCCGACGAUCUGUAGCUGGUCUGAGAGGAUGAUCAGCCACACUGGGACUGAGACACGGCCCAGACUCCUACGGGAGGCAGCAGUGGGGAAUUUUGGACAAUGGGCGCAAGCCUGAUCCAGCCAUGCCGCGUGCAGGAUGAAGGCCUUCGGGUUGUAAACUGAUUUUGUACGGAACGAAAAGCCUUCUUUUAAUACAGGAGGGUCAUGACGGUACCGUAAGAAUAAGCACCGGCUAACUACGUG
rnacentral:rRNA from 1 species